GAACGCGAAGAACCUUACCAGGUCUUGACAUCCCUCUGACCGCUCUAGAGAUAGAGUUUUCCUUCGGGACAGAGGUGACAGGUGGUGCAUGGUUGUCGUCAGCUCGUGUCGUGAGAUGUUGGGUUAAGUCCCGCAACGAGCGCAACCCCAAUUGUUAGUUGCCAUCAUUCAGUUGGGCACUCUAGCGAGACUGCCGGUAAUAAACCGGAGGAAGGUGGGGAUGACGUCAAAUCAUCAUGCCCCUUAUGACCUGGGCUACACACGUGCUACAAUGGCUGGUACAACGAGUCGCAAGCCGGUGACGGCAAGCUAAUCUCUUAAAGCCAGUCUCAGUUCGGAUUGUAGGCUGCAACUCGCCUACAUGAAGUCGGAAUCGCUAGUAAUCGCGGAUCAGCACGCCGCGGUGAAUACGUUCCCGGGUCUUGUACACACC
rnacentral:rRNA from 1 species